CCCUCUUAUCAUCAGAGAAAUGCUGGAGGGUAUGUGAUCCUGGCUGCUGAAGAUGGCUGGAAGGUCGUUUGUCCCGUCAGCUGGAUGAGCUGAUCUGCAGAGCCAAGAGGGCUCUCUGGGCCGUCUAUAACUGAGGAUCUGGGCUUCAGUUCCCCAACUGAAGCGGAAGGUAAGCCAGAGCAGUUGCUCUUUUGCUCAGCCUGUUAGAUAAAUCAACAGUGUGUCUAUGAGCGUUUAGGAAAAGAUGCUGCGAUUACUGAGACCCAGCAUAGGUUUCCCCAAAAUAAGUCAGCCAGACCAAUCUGAUUGAUUUUUUCUCUUUUCUAGACAGAGGUACAAACUUGGUGGAUCAGGGGAAUGCUGUGGACAUAGUGUAUCUUGAAUUCAGUGAGGCUUUUGACAAAAUCCCCCAUGAUAUUCUAGCGAGGAAGCUGUUGAAAUGGAG